rnacentral:rRNA from 1 species
CCUACGGGACGCAGCAGUGAGGAAUAUUGGUCAAUGGCCGGAAGGCUGAACCAGCCAAGCCGCGUGAAGGACGAAGGUGCCAAGCAUUGUAAACUUCUUUUGUCAAGGGACAAAAUCAGGCUCGAGAGCCUGACCGAGGGUACUUGAAGAAAAAGCAUCGGCUAACUCCGUGCCAGCAGCCGCGGUAAUACGGAGGAUGCGAGCGUUAUCCGGAUUUAUUGGGUUUAAAGGGUGCGUAGGCGGUCCGUUAAGUCAGCGGUAAAAUUGCGGGGCUCAACCCUGUCGAGCCGUUGAAACUGGCAGAC